rnacentral:rRNA from 1 species
CAGCAGCCGCGGUAAUACAGAGGGUGCGAGCGUUAAUCGGAUUUACUGGGCGUAAAGCGUGUGUAGGUUGUUGUUCAAGUCAGUUGUGAAAUCCCUGGGCUCAACCUGGGAACUGCUUCUGAGACUGAACGACUAGAGUACGGUAGAGGGUGGUGGAAUUUCCGGUGUAGCGGUGAAAUGCGUAGAUAUCGGAAGGAACAUCAAUGGCGAAGGCAGCCACCUGGGCCUGUACUGACACUGAGACACGAAAGCGUGGGGAUCAAACAGGAUUAGAUACCCCCGUAGUCCCUGUCUCUUAUAC